AUUGAACGCUGGCGGCAGGCUUAACACAUGCAAGUCGAGCGGAGUGAUGGUGCUUGCACUAUCGCUUAGCGGCGGACGGGUGAGUAAUGCUUAGGAAUCUGCCUAUUAGUGGGGGACAACAUCUCGAAAGGGAUGCUAAUACCGCAUACGUCCUACGGGAGAAAGCAGGGGAUCACUUGUGACCUUGCGCUAAUAGAUGAGCCUAAGUCGGAUUAGCUAGUUGGUGGGGUAAAGGCCUACCAAGGCGACGAUCUGUAGCGGGUCUGAGAGGAUGAGCGGCCACACUGGGACUGAGACACGGCCCAGACUCCUACGGGAGGCAGCAGUGGGGAAUAUUGGACAAUGGGGGGAACCCUGAUCCAGCCAUGCCGCGUGUGUGAAGAAGGCCUUAUGGUUGUAAAGCACUUUAAGCGAGGAGGAGGCUCUUUUGGUUAAUACCCAAGAUGAGUGGACGUUACUCGCAGAAUAAGCACCGGCUAACUCUGUGCCAGCCGCCGCCGUAAUAC
rnacentral:rRNA from 1 species